rnacentral:rRNA from 1 species
GGAAUAUUGGUCAAUGGGCGCUAGCCUGAACCAGCCAAGUAGCGUGAAGGAUGACUGCCCUAUGGGUUGUAAACUUCUUUUAUAUGGGAAUAAAGUUUGGUAUGUAUACCAUUUUGUAUGUACCAUAUGAAUAAGGAUCGGCUAACUCCGUGCCAGCAGCCGCGGUAAUACGGAGGAUCCGAGCGUUAUCCGGAUUUAUUGGGUUUAAAGGGUGCGUAGGCGGGAUGCCAAGUCAGCGGUCAAAUACGGGGGCUCAACCUGCGUCCGCCGUUGAAACUGGCGUUCUUGAGUGGGCGAGAAGUACGCGGAAUGCGUGGUGUAGCGGUGAAAUGCAUAGAUAUCACGCAGAACCCCGAUUGCGAAGGCAGCCUUCCGGCGCCCUACUGACGCUGAGGCACGAAAGUGCGGGGAUCGAACAG